rnacentral:sRNA from 1 species
UUUGACAUCCUCGUAGCGGUCGGGGUCGUCCCCGAACUCGCCAAGCACCCGGGCGCCGAUCACGUGCCCCUUGCCUGGUAGC